rnacentral:sRNA from 1 species
UUCAUUCUUCUCAGGGAUUGCGAUGGC